CAGCCGCCGCGGUAAUACGGAGGGUGCAAGCGUUAUCCGGAUUCACUGGGUUUAAAGGGUGCGUAGGCGGGCAGGUAAGUCAGUGGUGAAAUCUUCGAGCUUAACUCGGAAACUGCCGUUGAUACUAUCUGUCUUGAAUAACGUUGAGGUGAGCGGAAUAUGUCAUGUAGCGGUGAAAUGCUUAGAUAUGACAUAGAACACCGAUUGCGAAGGCAGCUCACUAAACGCUCAUUGACGCUGAGGCACGAAAGCGUGGGGAUCAAACAGGAUUAGAUACCCGGGUAGUCCCUGUCUCUUAUAC
rnacentral:rRNA from 1 species